GACAGAGGGUGCAACCGUUGUUCGGAAUUACUGGGCAUAAAGAGCACGUAGGUGGUUCGCUAAGUUACGUGUGAAAUCCCCCGGCUCAACCGGGGAAUUGCGCGUGAUACUGGCGGACUCGAGGCGGGUAGGGGUGAGUGGAAUGCCGAGUGUAGAGGUGAAAUUCGUAGAUAUUCGGCGGAACACCAGUGGCGAAGGCGACUCACUGGCCCGAUACUGACGCUGAGGCGCGAAAGCGUGGGUAGCAAACAGG
rnacentral:rRNA from 1 species